UGAGCCAAACCGUGCAUGCUCUUGGAGU
rnacentral:piRNA from 1 species